rnacentral:misc_RNA from 1 species
AAAGAAACUAUCCUGGAGGUCUCCAGUUAGUAAGACUGGCUUCAGUGAGUCAUACAUUCCGAAGUACAAACCUCGAUAAACGAUAAUUCCAACACAUGAGAUGUUAAAGCCACGAUAUAGUCCAGCAAUCCCAUCAGAAGCUAAAGUCUUUUUAUACACAUCAAUAAGACCAUUGAACUGUCUUCCUCCACCUUUCUUUGCGGCCUUAGCAUCAUUGGCAAGACGGGUACGGGCAUAGUCUAGAGAAUAGACGAAGAGAAGGGAAGAAGCACCAGCCGCGCCACCAGAAGCCAGGUUGCCCGCAAACCAUUUCCAGUAACCAUCCCUGUCCUUUUUGAAGUUGAAAAGCCUCUUGAAGUAGUCCUUGAAUGCA